rnacentral:rRNA from 1 species
AUUGAACGCUGGCGGCAGGCUUAACACAUGCAAGUCGAACGGGUCGCGUACGGGUGACUUAUGCUUGGGCAUCUUGCUUAUGGAUGGCGUUCACUACCGGAAACUGUAGCUAAUACCGCGUACCUUAGGAUGAGCCCAAGUGGGAUUAGGUAGUUGUUGAGGUAAAGGCGCACCAAGCCGACGAUCUCUAGCUGGUCUGAGAGGAUGACCAGCCACACUGGAACUGAGACACGGCCCAGACUCCUACGGGAGGCAGCAGUGGGGAAUAUUGCGCAAUGGGGGAAACCUGACACAGCCAUGCCGCGUGAAUGAAGAAGGCCUUCGGGUUGUAAAGUACUUUAGGUAGCGAGGCGUUAACAACAGAAGAAGCACCGGCUAACUCCGUGCCAGCAGCCGCGGUAAUAC